GUGGAUUAGAUACCCUAGUAGUCCACGCCGUAAACGAUGGAUACUAGGUGUAGGAGGUAUCGACCCCUUCUGUGCCGGAGUUAACACAAUAAGUAUCCCACCUGGGGAGUACGGCCGCAAGGUUGAAACUCAAAGGAAUUGACGGGGGCCCGCACAAGCAGUGGAGUAUGUGGUUUAAUUCGAAGCAACGCGAAGAACCUUACCAGGGCUUGACAUACCAUUGACGUAUCUAGAGAUAGGUAUUUCCUUCGGGACAAUGGAUACAGGUGGUGCACGGUCGUCGACAACU
rnacentral:rRNA from 1 species